GCCACUAUUCCGCAGUUUGAGCUGCGCGCUGCUCUCCUGCCACAGAUUGAACAACAGCCUCCUGACAUGACAGCUCUUCUUGAGAUAUUGUCAUCCAAUUUGGAUGGAACAACUUCGUGACCUUAAUGACACCCAGCAACACGAGCUAGAGAGACACACAAGCACCACAGGGGAGGAUCUGCAGCAAAGGGCCCACCGGAAAUCAAACCUUGGCCGCUAUGAUGACGACAACAUGGGGCACUUGAGUGUGAAUCUAGCCUUUUCAUUUUGAUUUACAACAUUAGCAUUGAAAAGAGCAAAAGUUGAUGCUUGAGAUGAUUUUGGUUUUACUGAAGAGGAUGUACGUCUUCCCCUUGUCCUUUAUCUCCUUACUCUUUCUUUUUAGGUGUGACUACGACUACCAGCAUGGACCUCAACACCUUCUUUGCUGUUCCACUAGUGUGACCCAUGAUCGGAUACAAGUUGUCAAGGAUAAACGGUGAGAGAAUCAUGUCAGCCCACAGACAACCGAUUGACCUGAGAUUCGGUCCCCACCUGUCUUCAGUCUGGACCUAAUGACUCAGACACCAGUCUUGUCGAGGCUAAAUCGAGAGAGGAUCACCUGAUGUCAACAUACGAGUUUUCAAGAAGAACUUCCUGAACUUUGUGUCUGUGUGAGACUCUACCAUGCUGGGUGCCCUCUUCAGUCAAGUCUGGACACAGCGACUCAUUGCUCUUAAUCAACUCUGGGCAAGUGGCUAAUCUUUGCUUAUUCAUGGGAUAUCCUUCAUGUCCACAUCCUGUUUCUUCAAGAUCUCAACAAUGCUUUGUGAGUAUACAACACAUGUGAGUGGAUCAGUUCAACCUGUUUUUCACAGAAUGUUAGUUUCUUAAGGUUUUCAUCAACGAUGGUUUGUAUCUUGUUUUCCAAAAGGUGUUAUUAAGAUAUUUCCAUUUGUAAUUUACAAUAAUCAAAUGUUGACUGUAAAAUCUAUGCCAACCUAUUGUUAUACACUGUACCAUGUUUUUGCAAAGGAAUUCUGGUAACUUUAGUUGCCAGCAACUUCCUUUGAACUUUGUAAUAAAAUACCGUAACUGUAAUAAAGUUUACAGUAUAACUGUUGUUUUACAAAACUUAC